UAAUACGUAGGGGGCAAGCGUUGUCCGGAUUUAUUGGGCGUAAAGAGCGUGUAGGCGGCCAGAUAGGUCAGCUGUGAAAACUCGAGGCUCAACCUCGAGAUGUCGGCUGAAACCAUCUGGCUAGAGUCCGGAAGAGGAGAAUGGAAUUCCCGGUGUAGCGGUGAAAUGCGCAGAUAUCGGGAAGAACACCCGUGGCGAAGGCGGUUCUCUGGGACGGUACUGACGCUGAGACGCGAAAGCGUGGGGAGCGAACAGGAUUAGAUACCCUGGUAGUCCACGCCGUAAACGAUGGGUACUAGGUGCCUGGGGGAGCGACCCUCUGGGUGCCGGCGCUAACGCAGGAAGUACCCCGCCUGGGGAGUACGACCGCAAGGUUG
rnacentral:rRNA from 1 species